GUGGGGAAUAUUGCACAAUGGGCGCAAGCCUGAUGCAGCAACGCCGCGUGAAUGAAGAAGGUCUUCGGAUCGUAAAGUUCUUUUCUUAGGGAAGAAACCAUGACGGUACCUAAGGAAUAAGCACCGGCUAACUACGUGCCAGCAGCCGCGGUAAUACGUAGGGUGCAAGCGUUAUCCGGAAUCACUGGGCGUAAAGGGUGCGUAGGCGGUCUGACAAGUCAGGAGUGAAAGGCAGUGGCUCAACCAUUGUAAGCUUUUGAAACUGUCGGACUUGAAUGCAGGAGGGGCAAGUGGAAUUCCUAGUGUAGCGGUGAAAUGCGUAGAUAUUAGGAGGAACACCAGUGGCGAAGGCGACUUGCUGGACUGUAAUUGACGCUGAGGCACGAAAGCGUGGGGAGCAAACAGGAUUAGAUACCCUUGUAGUCC
rnacentral:rRNA from 1 species